rnacentral:lncRNA from 1 species
GCAUUAUGGGAAGACAAGAACUUUUAAGCUCUCACUUUUAUGAUGAAGACRGUAUACCGAUUUGUUUCUGCACUGAGAGUGUCCAAGCAGCUCCCUUUCCCUGCCCUCUCCUCUUGGUACAUGGUAUGACCUUUUUGAAAUGCCACAGGACACCAGCGUAGCUACGAAUGCCACCAGCAUGUGUUGUAACCUGAACCUAUCCUGGAUCAUGGACUCAAGAUCAGAUGGUUGGUCUGUUCUAAUCAAGAAAUGAAGAGCCUGGUG